rnacentral:snRNA from 1 species
GUCCAAGCUGCGCAAUGAGACCCUAUACCAAAUACAUAAAAAUUAGCAUGGUCCCUGCACAAGGUUGACACCAAAUUCAUGAAGCAUUCCAUAUUUUU